UAUUUGUGAAUGAAUUAUAAAUAACAUCUUUUCUAAUCUAAAUCUAAUCUACUCGGAGAGAAUAUUGGUUAGAUCGGACCAUGGUAAGAUACAGCUGCCAUAGAGUCCGAUCUUUGAACUCAUAAAAGUUUAUUAUCCAUAUACAAAUUACAUUACUUGGAAAACUGCGCUGAGGACGAAAGAUAACAAAAGUGCAUCUAGAUUUCAUGGUAUUGUACGCAAAAUGCUAAGAUAGACCAAGUCCCCGACAAUGAAGAGAGGCUCGUAAUGGAAACGACAAUUUUUCUUCUAUUCUAUCGAAUCCUGG